UUUAAAUCUGUUGAGAAUUGCUUUAUGGCCGAGCAUAUGGUUGAUCUUAGAUUAUGUGCCAUGUGCAGAUGAGAAGAAUUGCAUUCUUUUAUGGAGUGCAGUGUUCUGUUGAUGUCUAUUGUGUCUAUUUGGUCAAGUGUUUUUAGUUACUAAAUAUUGCAUGUGAGAUGGAUCUCUUAAAGACAGCAUUCAGUGGAGUCUUGCUUCUUUAUCCAACCUGCCACUCUAUGUCUUUUAAAUGGGGCAUUAGCUUAUUUAUAUUCAAGGUUAAUAUUGAUAUAUCAGGAUUUUAUCUUGUCAUCUUGUUAGCUGAUUGUUAUAUAGACUUAAUUGUAUAGUUGCUUUAUAGCAUCAGUGGGCUAUGUACUUAAGUACGUAGUGUGAAAAAUAUGUUUUUCUUCUGGCAGAUAAGGUUCUUUUGUUUCCAUGUGUAGCACUCCCUUAAGGAUCUCUUGUAAGGCAGGUCUGGUGCUAAUGAAUUCCCUUAGCCUUUGCUUGCCUGAAAAGAAUUUUAUUUGUUGUUUGUUAUGAAGCUGAGUUUGGCUGGAAAAGAAAUUCUUGGUUGGAAUUUCUUUUUUCUAAGGAUGCUGAAUGUAGGUCUCUGAUGUCUUCUGGCUUUUAAGGUUCCUGCU
rnacentral:lncRNA from 1 species